UACGUAGGGGGCAAGCGUUGUCCGGAUUUAUUGGGCGUAAAGAGCGUGUAGGCGGUUAUGCAGGUCCGCUGUGAAAACUGGAGGCUUAACCUCCAGACGUCGGUGGAAACCGUAUGACUAGAGUCCGGAAGAGGAGAGUGGAAUUCCUGGUGUAGCGGUGAAAUGCGCAGAUAUCAGGAAGAACACCAAUUGCGAAGGCAGCUCGCUGGGACGCUACUGACGCUGAGACGCGAAAGCGUGGGGAGCAAACAGG
rnacentral:rRNA from 1 species